UACAGAGGGUGCAAGCGUUGUUCGGAAUCAUUGGGCGUAAAGGGCGUGUAGGCGGUUUGUUAAGUCAUGUGUGAAAUCCCUCGGCUCAACCGGGGAACGACGCAUGAAACUGACAAGCUAGAGUACCAAAGAGGGGGGGUGGAAUUCCCGGUGUAGCGGUGAAAUGCGUAGAGAUCGGCAGGAACACCCAGGGGGAAACCAGUCGACUGGGCAUCUACUGACGCUGAGGUGCGAGAGCGUGGGGAGCGAACCGG
rnacentral:rRNA from 1 species